rnacentral:rRNA from 1 species
AUUGAACGCUGGCGGCAGGCCUAACACAUGCAAGUCGAACGGCAACAGGAAGAAGCUUGCUUCUUUGCUGACGAGUGGCGGGCGGGUGAGUAAUGUCUGGGAAACUGCCUGAUGGAGGGGGAUAACUACUGGAAACGGUAACUAAUACCGCAUAACGUCGCAAGACCAAAGAGGGGGAGCUUUGGGCCUCUUGCCAUCGGAUGUGCCCCGAUGGGAUUAGCUAGUAGGUGGGGUAACGGCUCACCUAGGCGACGAUCCCUAGCUGGUCUGAGAGGAUGACCAGCCACACUGGAACUGGGACACGGUCCAGACUCCUACGGGAGGCAGCAGUGGGGAAUAUUGGACAAUGGGCGCAAGCCUGAUGCAGCCAUGCCGCGUGUAUGAAGAAGGCCUUCGGGUUGUAAAGUACUUUCAGCGGGGAAGAAGGGAGUAAAGUUAAUACCUUGGCUUAUUGACGUUACCCGCAGAAGAAGCACCGGCUAACUCCGUG